rnacentral:rRNA from 1 species
GAUGAACGCUGGCGGCGUGCCUAAUACAUGCAAGUCGAGCGAACAGAUGAGGAGCUUGCUCCUCUGACGUUAGCGGCGGACGGGUGAGUAACACGUGGAUAACCUACCUAUAAGACUGGGAUAACUUCGGGAAACCGGAUCUAAUACCGGAUAAUAUAUUGAACCGCAUGGUUCAAUAGUUAAAUACGGUUUUGCUGUCACUUAUAUAUGGAUCCGCGCCGCAUUAGCUAGUUGGUAAGGUAACGGCUUACCAAGGCAACGCUGCGUAGCCGACCUGAGAGGGUGAUCGGCCACACGGGAACUGAGACACGGUCCAGACUCCUACGGGAGGCAGCAGUAGGGAAUCUUCCGCAAUGGGCGAAAGCCUGACGGAGCAACGCCGCGUGAGUGAUGAAGGUCUUCGGAUCGUAAAACUCUGUUAUUAGGGAAGAACAAAUGUGUAAGUAACUAUGCACGUCUUGACGGUACCUAAUCAGAAAGCCACGGCUAACUACGUG